AGAAGCAAAUUUCUUAUGAACAAUGCAGAGAGGAUAAAUGCACCCCCCUUAAAACCCCCCAGAAACUGGAGAAAUCAAGCCAAGAUGAAAAGCCAAAGCCUAAACAGUCUAAUAAAAGACCCAGACCGAGUUCUCCUUUCGCACCAAAUAAAAAGUGGAAGCCAUCCAAAGAUUUUUCAAGACAAGAGAAGAAAGUUAAAAGACUGACUAG